CACGGGGGGAGCAAGCGUUGUUCGGAAUCACUGGGCGUAAAGGGUGUCUAGGCGGUUGAGUAAGUGAGAUGUGAAAUGCCCCGGCUCACCCGGGGACCUGCAUCUCAUACUGCUCAGCUCGAGUAUGGGAGAGGAUGAGGGAAUUCCUGGUGUAGCGGUGAAAUGCGUAGAUAUCAGGAGGAACACCGGUGGCGAAAGCGCUCAUCUGGCCCAAUACUGACGCUGAAGCACGAAAGCUAGGGGAGCAAACGGG
rnacentral:rRNA from 1 species